UUUGAGAGAGAGACGGAGAGAGAACACAAGUGGGGGAGACAGAGAGAGGAGUGGAGAGAGAGGGAGAAGCAGACUCCCCGCUGAGCAGGGAGCCUGAUGCGGGGCUCGAUCCUGGGACUCUGGGAUCAUGACCUGAGCCAAAGGAAGAUGCUUAACUGAUGGAGCCACCCAGGCAUCCCACUACUGAAGGCUUUUAUAGAAGGUUUUUAAAGAAUUUAUGUUGUGUGGUGGUAAUGUAGGCUCAAGACAGAACCUAGAGCAGCUAGAAGAAGAAAAGCCUGUAAGGAGACUAAAAGAAACCAUCAGGUUUUAGGAGGAGACUCAUGAGAUGAUGGUAUCAGCUCUACUGAGGAAAGGAGGUUGGUUCUAGAAGGGAGUUCUUAACCGUGUCAAGUGUCGAAAAGAAUUUAAGAUGAAGUAUAACAAGGGUCUAUUAGAUUUUUCCAGGAGGAUGGCACUGAUGACCUUGCCAAGGCAGGAUUCCCCAGCCAAAUAUAGCUGUACAAGUUGUUGACUGAACAAGAACAUCAGCCUACCCCGUGCUCCUCCCCUCAUGCGAAGGGAUGUGUGUUCCCUAAUUGGGGGCACAGACACCAAACGUGCUCGUGAACUUACUGGUGUCUCAGCAGAGUGGAGGGGACAGAGCCCCAGCACAGUGAGUUGAACACUGAACAGGAAGAGAGAAGGAGGGUACCUUCUACAGUCAAAGCUCAGUCCUCCGGGUGCACAACUUCAGUCUGACAGAAAGAAGGACUGUGGCUAUGCAGGAAAGAGAGAUAAAUUCAAGGAGAGGGGUUAGAAGAACAAAGGGAAAGAGUAGAAGAGAAGGGACCAUGAUGGAAUGUGGGUUCUGGCUUCAAGUGCUAAUCAAACUUAGCUGCUUGUUCUGUUCAUCCUCAAAGGGCUCCACAUCGUUUCCACACAGCUGCCUUCCCAUAGCAGUGGACUCUCAAGUCACCUUGGGAGGGAGGUAUUGCCGGUUUCUCAUCUCCCCUCCACACUGAGGAAGCCAAUAUGCCAGAAGUCCCAUGUUACAUGAUGGAGCCGGGGGGCGUGUGUGCCAUAAUGGACCAAGGACUCACACUGCCUGCCAGUUCAGGGGCCAGCCCCAGUACGUUCACUCUGGAGCAAGUUGCAUCAAACCACAGAGCCUCUGUUUGCACAACUGUUAAGUGGAACAUGUGAGAUCUGCCUUCAUUCCUUCAGGACAUGAGGAUGGGCUGAGUGUACAAACACCUACAGUAGAGCCCAAUACAUAGACUCUCUCUCUCUUCUUCCACCUAGAACUCACAGUCUGAUUAUCUGACUCCAGGUGGAGAGUUAGAAACAAGGUGACUGCUAUGGGUAUUUACUCAUUCGCUUAUUUUCAAAUCUAUGUAAGCUCUGGUUUAAGGAGAGUCUUAAGAGUUAGGGUGUAGAAAUAAAAUUCCUGAAAGAAUUUUUGUUGCUAAUAAAAUAUGAUGUGUUCCAUUUACCUAACAUCUUACAACAUGCCUCCCAAAAGUACCAGUUGAUUCUAAGGCUAUUUCCAUCUCCCUUUGCAUCAGCCCCUCUGGGGAUUUGGAGCUGAGCUGUGUGAGGGGAGAAGGAAGGGCUGUCCCAUGCAUACCUGAGGACCUUUCACCCAUGCUGAACUGUAACUUAGUUGAAAGAAGAAAGAAGAAAGAAAAAAGAAGAAAGAAGAAAGAAGAAGAAGAAGAAGGUUCCAGAUCUGGCCAGGGAAAAGACUGGUCAUCCUCUUCACUGCUGCUUUAUGCCAUGGAGUUAUCCCUCAAAGGAAUGAAAAAGCAUCCACAUUAAAAAAAAAAAAAAUACAUGAAACGAUUUAAUUAUCUGGUUCUAGUAAAUAUUUUUUUCCCAUUAAAACAUUUCCAUCAAAAGAUCAGGAAACAGGGCCAGGCAAGUUGCUUUUUAAAUUCAACAAUGAUUCCUUUUCUAAGAAAAAAAACAAACAAAUUGGAUAGAGCAGAUAAUCCCCAUAUCCCCAACAGGAAAACACAUAGUGUAGACUAAUUAACCCAGUUUUGAUCACCGGGAAACUAAUGUACACUAUAUAGGAAUAUCAACUCAGGUCACCUGACACUGGCCUAAUUCUUUUGGCGAUAUUUAAAUGUAUAUCAGCAGGUCACUGCAUUAUUUAGUGUCAUUCCAGCUGUGUGCACUUAUUUUCCAUCAUUUUUAAUAUUAUUCCAGAAAAACAGGAAGGCCUCUCCCAUGCUCACACUGGAAGCAAUCUGAUUCAGUUACAUAUGUGGCAGACGCGCAGAGCAGUGGGUAAGUUCCCAUCUCCAGUCCCGCUUUCAUUUCCUGAGUGCUUUUCUAUGUGCCAGGCAGUGCUCGAGGCAUCAGGAACCCAGUGGUAAAUCUGUCAAGAUUCCAAUUCUCCUUGUGGAAAUUAAUUCUCACUGGGGCACACAUGACCAGAAUAAUAUCUGAGAGCAGUAAAGGCAGUGAAGAGAAUAUAAAGGUACAAAGAGAUAGUAUAUCCCUCGAGGUGGGGCCGGGGCUACCUUAGGCAGGGUGGCCAGGGAAGACCCACCUGGAGAUGAUGAGAAUGCAACAGUUGUGCAAAGAUCUGGGGCAGAACCGUUUUAGCAGAAGGAACAGCAUAUGCAAAGGCCCUGAGGAGAGAAGGAGCUCAGGGCAGCUGCAGAACAGAAAGGAGGCCACGAUGUUGAGGACCCAAAACAAGGGGCAAAGCGCCACCAGACAACGUGAGGGACAAGGGCAAGGGCCAGACUGCAGUGAGCCCAGGGGCACUUGAUGAAAAUGCGGAUGUUAUCCUAAGGGUAAUGCAAAACUAUGGAGAGUUUUGAAAGCAAGAGAAUGAUCUGGUCUAAAUCUAAGCCUGCAACAGAUCACUGAGGCGGAGGGCAGAAUGGUCUAGGAGGGCGCAGGGAGGUGGGGGCGGGGGUGGCGGGAAGGGAGCAGAGACCUCGCUGUCCAGACAAAAGAUAAUGGUGACAGUGUCUGUAACAGCAGCGAAAUUAUUUUAAUGAAUCGUUUCAAAUGAAAUCCCACUUCGGUUUCACCAAAGAGAGCAGAAGCCUUAAUGGAAAUGUGGUGAUACGUGGCGAAUGCGGAGAUGACAUCUGCCGGCACCCGGAGCAGGCGAAGGAGCUGCACGGACCAGAAGCCGGCCACUCCGUGACGCGUUUAUGUGCUGGUGGGAAACAGGCACGCAUCACGGCUGGCACUUCCAUCCUUGAUUCAGGUGAAGGGCACCCACAUUUAUUUCUCAUGAACACAACGUGUCCCAGAAAUCACUGAUGAGCAUAGGAUGCCACUGAAUCAAACCCAGCCACCAACACCUGGCAACACAGAGACAGAGGGGCAACUGCCUUUAUUUAUUGAUUUUUUUUUUAACAAAUUCUUAUCUUCAGUGAAGAGAAAGAGAUGUUUCAAAAAGACUCUGGUCUUCUCUUUGCUUAGCCCACAGCAUGAACUCUUGCUCCCUGGUCUUUAUCCCAUAGAUUGCCCAUUCCCGCCUGGCCCUGAGGUUCUAAGACUUUUCUGACCUUUAUUUCUGCCAUUAGGAGCUAGAGGCCUAUUAGCUCUGACAAAGACUCCUCCUCUUUAUCCUUUCUUUUCUUUUUUAAGAUUUUAUUUAUCUAUUCAUGAGAGACCCAGAGACAUACAGGAAGAAGCAGGCUCCCUAUUGGGAGCCCAAAGAGGGACUCGAUUGCAGGACCCCGGGAUCAUGACCUGAGCCAAAGGCAGACGCUCAACCACUGAGCCACCCAGGCAUCCUAAGACUCCUCCCUUAUCAAACCCUAGUUAGAUUCCUCUGAGUCCUCUUUUGGACCAGGCCUUGCCCUUGGUUUCUGUCCUUGACCUGCUUAUUCCAGUUUUAGCAAGAAUCCUGCUGAGACCAUUUAGGGAAAAAUCCCCCACCCUGGUAUCUGAUCAUCCUUGACAUCUGAUCCAAUUCUUUAUCUCCCACCUUCCAGAUCUGGCCAGACUGCCUUCAGCAAGAACCAUCCUCACCCCUGGUGUUUCUCCUUACAAAUUUCGUGUCCACUGAUCUUCAUCCUGCUGUUUGGCUACGCCUUGCUGUAUUUUAGAGUUGGGCCUGAUUUCUCUCCCCUACUGCAAAAUUCCACUGUAGUAGCCACCUUGAUUAAACGUCUCUUUACUAAAAAAAAAAAAAAAAAAA
rnacentral:lncRNA from 1 species